rnacentral:rRNA from 1 species
GACGAACGCUGGCGGCGUGCUUAACACAUGCAAGUCGAACGGAAAGGCCCUGCUUUUGUGGGGUGCUCGAGUGGCGAACGGGUGUGUAACACGUGAGUAACCUGCCCUUGCCUUUGGGAUAACUUCAGGAAACUGGGGCUAAUACCGGAUAGGAGCUCCUGCUGCAUGGCGGGGGUUGGAUAGUCUCGGCGGUUGGGGAUGGACUCGCGGCUUAUCAGCUUGUUGGUGGGUUAGUUGCUUACCAAGGCUUUGACGGGUAGCCGGCCUGAGAGGGUGACCGGCCACAUUGGGACUGAGGUACGGCCCAGACUCCUACGGGAGGCAGCAGUGGGGAAUAGUGCACAAUGGGAGGAAGCCUGAUGCAGCAACGCCGCGUGCGGGAUGACGGCCUUCGGGUUGUAAACCGCUUUCGCCUGUGACGAAGCGUGAGUGACGGUAAUGGGUAGAGAAGCACCGGCUAAAUACGUG